AUACGGAGGAUACGAGCGUUAUCCGGAUUUAUUGGGUUUAAAGGGAGCGUAGGUGGGAUAUUAAGUCAGCUGUGAAAGUUUGGGGCUCAACCUUAGAAUUGCAGUUGAUACUGGUUUCCUUGAGUACGGUACAGGUGGGCGGAAUUCGUGGUGUAGCGGUGAAAUGCUUAGAUAUCACGAAGAACUCCGAUCGCGAAGGCAGCUCACCGGGCCGGAACUGACACUGAUGCUCGAAAGUGCGGGUAUCAAACAGGAUUAGAUACCCUGGUAGUCCGCACAGUAAACGAUGAAUACUCGCUGUUUGCGAUACACGGUAAGCGGCCAAGCGAAAGCGUUAAGUAUUCCACCUGGGGAGUACGCCGGCAACGGUGAAACUCAAAUGAAUUGGCGGGG
rnacentral:rRNA from 1 species